GCUACGCCUGUCUGAGCGUCGCUUUGCAAUCAAUCGGAGACCUCCGCGUCUCCGCGGCUGGGGCAGUCGCAGGCGGCCUUCGGGCACUGCCUUCGUCCCCCCAAGCGCAGACCGCCCGGGGUGCCCGGUGCGGCGUGUGGUGCCUGCCUGGGAACCGCACCCUCCUGCCCGUGAGCUCUCACGCUCCCGGCAUAACUCCAUCCCCGACCCCGGUCGGGGAGGGGCACCUCCCCGUCGAGCCCGCACGAGCGGGCGCGGCUGCCGGUGGACGUUCACCCGUCUCCGCGCUGACCGCGUCACUCGUGCACUCAAGGGCCCGACGGACGGGGACCGCUCCAGCGGGUGGCUCGGGGGGUUGCCACGGGUCGAGAGGGCUGCCGGCCUCUCCGGAGCUCGCCGCCACUCGCCGCGUCCUGGGGAAAAACCACACCGCGGCGCACGUGAGCCUCCCCCGGGAGCCACAAAUGC
rnacentral:rRNA from 1 species